UUAGGUUAAGUUAAUAAGGGCGCACGGUGGAUGCCUUGGCACUAAGAGCCGAUGAAGGACGGGACUAACUCCGAUAUGCUUUGGGGAGCUGUAAGUAAGCUUUGAUCCAAAGAUUUCCGAAUGGGGGAACCCAGCAUUUUUUAUAGAAUGUUACUGCUAGCUGAAUACAUAGGCUAGUAGAGGUAGACGCAGAGAACUGAAACAUCUAAGUACCUGCAGGAAGAGAAAGAAAAUUCGAUUCCCUGAGUAGCGGCGAGCGAAACGGGAAGAGCCCAAACCAAAGAGCUUGCUCUUUGGGGUUGUAGGACACGACAUUAAGAGUCAUAAAUGAGUUUUGUAGAAGAAGCGAUCUGGAAAGGUCCGCCGAAGAGGGUAAAAGCCCGUAAUCGAAACAAAGUUCACUCUGUUGUGUAUCCUGAGUACGGCGGAACACGAGAAAUUCCGUCGGAAUCCGCGGGGACCAUCCCGCAAGGCUAAAUACUCCUUAGUGACCGAUAGUGAACCAGUACCGUGAGGGAAAGGUGAAAAGAACCCCGGAAGGGGAGUGAAAGAGCUCCUGAAACCGUGUGCUUACAAAUAGUUAGAGCCCGUUAAUGGGUGAUAGCGUGCCUUUUGUAGAAUGAACCGGCGAGUUACGAUUACAUGCGAGGUUAAGUUGAUAAGACGGAGCCGUAGCGAAAGCGAGUCUGAAUAGGGCGAAUGAGUAUGUGGUCGUAGACCCGAAACCAAGUGACCUACCCAUGUCCAGGUUGAAGGUGCGGUAAUACGCACUGGAGGACCGAACCCACGUAUGUUGAAAAAUGCGGGGAUGAGGUGUGGGUAGCGGAGAAAUUCCAAUCGAACUUGGAGAUAGCUGGUUCUCUCCGAAAUAGCUUUAGGGCUAGCCUCGGAAUUAAGAAUCAUGGAGGUAGAGCCACUGUUUGGACUAGGGGCCCUUCUAGGGUUACCGAAUUCAGAUAAACUCCGAAUGCCAUUGAUUUAUAUCCGGGAGUCAGACUGCGAGUGAUAAGAUCCGUAGUCGAAAGGGAAACAGCCCAGACCACCAGCUAAGGUCCCAAAGUUACUAUUAAGUGGAAAAGGAUGUGGGGUUGCUUAGACAACUAGGAUGUUGGCUCAGAAGCAGCCAUCAUUUAAAGAGUGCGUAAUAGCUCACUAGUCGAGUGACCCUGCGCCGAAAAUUUACCGGGGCUAAAUAGUACACCGAAGCUGUGGAUAGAACCUUAGGGUUCUAUGGUAGGAGAGCGUUCUAAGGGCAUCGAAGCUAGACCGUGAGGACUAGUGGAGCGCUUAGAAGUGAGAAUGCCGGUAUGAGUAGCGAAAGACGGGUGAGAAUCCCGUCCACCGUAUGACUAAGGUUUCCUGGGGAAGGCUCGUCCUCCCAGGGUUAGUCGGGACCUAAGCCGAGGCCGAUAGGCGUAGGCGAUGGACAACAGGUUGAUAUUCCUGUACCAGUUUCUUUUGUUUGAACAAUGGAGGGACGCAGGAGGCUAAGAAAUGCGCACUGUUGGAUAUGUGCGUCUAAGCAAUGAGUCUUGAGGUGAGUUAAAUGCUUGCUUCUAUACGGACAAGUUGUGAUGGGGAGGGAAAUUACAGUACCGAAGUUUCUGAUGUCACACUGCCAAGAAAAGCUUCUAGUUAGAAAGAAAUUGCCCGUACCGCAAACCGACACAGGUAGUCGAGGAGAGUAUCCUAAGGUGUGCGAGAGAACUCUCGUUAAGGAACUCGGCAAAAUGACCCCGUAACUUCGGGAGAAGGGGUGCUGAUCGAAAGAUCAGCCGCAGUGAAUAGGCCCAAGCGACUGUUUAUCAAAAACACAGGUCUCUGCAAAAUCGAAAGAUGACGUAUAGGGGCUGACGCCUGCCCGGUGCUGGAAGGUUAAGAGGAUUGGUUAGCUUCGGCGAAGCUAAGAAUUGAAGCCCCAGUAAACGGCGGCCGUAACUAUAACGGUCCUAAGGUAGCGAAAUUCCUUGUCGGGUAAGUUCCGACCCGCACGAAAGGCGUAACGAUUUGGGCACUGUCUCAACGAGAGACUCGGUGAAAUUAUAGUACCUGUGAAGAUGCAGGUUACCCGCGACAGGACGGAAAGACCCCAUGGAGCUUUACUGCAGUUUGAUAUUGAGUGUUUGUACAGCUUGUACAGGAUAGGUAGGAGCCAUAGAAGUCAGGACGCCAGUCUUGAUGGAGGCAUUGGUGGGAUACUACCCUUGCUGUAUGACCACUCUAACCCUAGCCACUAAUCGUGGCUGGAGACAGUGUCAGACGGGCAGUUUGACUGGGGCGGUCGCCUCCUAAAGAGUAACGGAGGCGCCCAAAGGUUCCCUCAGAAUGGUUGGAAAUCAUUCGUAGAGUGUAAAGGCAGAAGGGAGCUUGACUGCGAGACCUACAAGUCGAGCAGGGACGAAAGUCGGGCUUAGUGAUCCGGUGGUUCCGCAUGGAAGGGCCAUCGCUCAACGGAUAAAAGCUACCCUGGGGAUAACAGGCUUAUCUCCCCCAAGAGUCCACAUCGACGGGGAGGUUUGGCACCUCGAUGUCGGCUCAUCGCAUCCUGGGGCUGUAGUCGGUCCCAAGGGUUGGGCUGUUCGCCCAUUAAAGCGGUACGCGAGCUGGGUUCAGAACGUCGUGAGACAGUUCGGUCCCUAUCCGUCGCGGGCGCAGGAAAUUUGAGAGGAGCUGUCCUUAGUACGAGAGGACCGGGAUGGACACACCGCUGGUGUACCAGUUGUUCUGCCAAGAGCAUCGCUGGGUAGCUAUGUGUGGAAGGGAUAAACGCUGAAAGCAUCUAAGCGUGAAGCCCCCUCGAGAUGAGAUUUCCCAUCACGUAAGUGAGUAAGACCCCUGAGAGAUGAUCAGGUAGAUAGGUUGGAAGUGGAAGUACAGCGAUGUAUGGAGCGGACCAAUACUAAUCGGUCGAGGACUUAACCAAG
rnacentral:rRNA from 1 species